AUACGGAGGAUGCGAGCGUUAUCCGGAUUUAUUGGGUUUAAGGGGAGCGUAGGUGGGAUAUUAAGUCAGCUGUGAAAGUUUGGGGCUCAACCUUAAAAUUGCAGUUGAUACUGGUUUCCUUGAGUACGGUACAGGUGGGCGGAAUUCGUGGUGUAGCGGUGAAAUGCUUAGAUAUCACGAAGAACUCCGAUCGCGAUGGCAGCUCACCGGGCCGGAACUGACACUGAUGCUCGAAAGUGCGGGUAUCAAACAGGAUUAGAUACCCUGGUAGUCCGCACAGUAAACGAUGAAUACUCGCUGUUUGCGAUACACGGUAAGCGGCCAAGCGAAAGCGUUAAGUAUUCCACCUGGGGAGUACGCCGGCAACGGUGAAACUCAAAGGAAUUGACGGGG
rnacentral:rRNA from 1 species